GUCUGAACACAGGACGUAGAAGAUUGCAAAGAAAAUCACAGAGGGAUUUUGUAAAACUAGAGAGCUUACCGCUUGCUGUUUUACCAAGGCAAAAGUGAGAACUGCAAAUUCUGGAGAUUAGAGUCAAGAGUGUGGUGCUGGAAAAGCACAGCAGGUCAAAAAACAUCUACGAAGCAGGGGAAAACAGCCUACAAAGGUGCAGAAAAAAAACAAGAUGGAAGGUGGGAUGCCCAGCAUGGAUCUUCUUGUGGAGAAAAUCCCUGAUCCUAGCCCAGUGAGAACUGUGAUAAGGCCGAAUCUUGAUGUACUGACAACCAAGUAAGAAUCACAAUCCAUUGUGAUUCUCUUCUAUCACCCUCACUGCAAAUGGCUCAUUAACACAUCAGAACUUCUACCCCUUGUUCAUGUUGCAUUCUAUCUUUCACCACUUGCAAGUGUCUUUGGAAUCUGCAUGGUCCCUACCGUGAAAAGAUCAACCACAGAAUAUGUCUGCUCCUCCACCAGCCCAGAUAAUGAUAUCUUGGUAGGUAUUUCAGAUAGAUUAGAGUCAGGAACAUCAACAGGUAGACACAUCACUGCCAAUCUCUGCAGCUGGCAAAGGAAAAAAAUCUCCCCAGGCUGCUGGCAUUCAAAGGAUUACCAGAGACCAAGCACCUGCUCAUCCUCAGGCAUGAGUGGACCCCCAGGGGUCUAGAAAUUGAGAGCAGCUGGUAGGUUUGUCACAGGCACUGAGUAAAUUGACUUGAAGUUUGGAGGAUACACCAACACUGUUUGUACUAUUCUGCUUCAGGCAUGAGAGUGUCUGGCUGCCUCAAUGGACAACUUUAUAGCUUCAAUUGAAGAGCUGUGUCUAGCAGUCUCAGCGUCUCCUGGAAUGCAUGCAGAGCUUCAUGCAAUCACUCUAGCCAUUGAUGUAAACCAAAGCAGCAAGGUACGUUGACCUCACUCCAAGUGCCCCUUCCUUAAAAGAAGUCAGGAGAUUCCAGUAGCUACCCAGCUGGAGAAGAAGUCACAAAGACCCUACAGAAGUCUCCUUUCAGCACACUCCAGCGGUGGCCUGACCUUUCCCGUCCAUUCUGCAUACCAUCCUCAGUUUUGUUGGAGUUCAAGCCAAAG